rnacentral:misc_RNA from 1 species
AACGCACGAGACCUGCGGACCUGCGGAGGGAUCAUUACUGAGAUAGGGUUUCUUCUGAGCCCGACCUCCAACCCUUUGCUUAAACCACCUUGUUGCUUUGGCAGGCCCCGUCCCUUUGGGGACCGCCGGGAGUGUUUAAUCACCCUUGGCCAGUGCCUGCCAGUAGCCAAUUUAAAUUCCUUUUUAACCAUGUUGUCUGAAAAAAACACAAGAAAUUCAAUUAAAACUUUCAGCAACGGA